GAUUGUGUGGUAUAGUGGUUUCAACAUUAGACUAUGACUCUGGAGACCAGGGUCCGAAUCCCCACUCAGCCG